rnacentral:rRNA from 1 species
AGAGUUUGAUCCUGGCUCAGGAUGAACGCUGGCGGCGUGCCUAAUACAUGCAAGUCGAGCGAGCUUGCCUAGAUGAUUUUAGUGCUUGCACUAAAUGAAACUAGAUACAAGCUAGCGGCGGACGGGUGAGUAACACGUGGGUAACCUGCCCAAGAGACUGGGAUAACACCUGGAAACAGAUGCUAAUACCGGAUAACAACACUAGACGCAUGUCUAGAGUUUAAAAGAUGGUUCUGCUAUCACUCUUGGAUGGACCUGCGGUGCAUUAGCUAGUUGGUAAGGUAACGGCUUACCAAGGCAAUGAUGCAUAGCCGAGUUGAGAGACUGAUCGGCCACAUUGGGACUGAGACACGGCCCAAACUCCUACGGGAGGCAGCAGUAGGGAAUCUUCCACAAUGGACGCAAGUCUGAUGGAGCAACGCCGCGUGAGUGAAGAAGGGUUUCGGCUCGUAAAGCUCUGUUGGUAGUGAAGAAAGAUAGAGGUAGUAACUGGCCUUUAUUUGACGGUAAUUACCUAGAAAGUCACGGCUAACUACGUGCCAGCAGCCGCGGUAAUACGUAGGUGGCGAGCGUUAUCCGGAAUGAUUGGGCGUAAAGGGUGCGCAGGCGGUCCUGCAAGUCUGGAGUGAAACGUAUGAGCUCAACUCAUGCAUGGCUCUGGAAACUGGAGGACUGGAGAGCAGGAGAGGGCGGUGGAACUCCAUGUGUAGCGGUAAAAUGCGUAGAUAUAUGGAAGAACACCAGUGGCGAAGGCGGCCGCCUGGCCUGU